CACUUCAGCCACUUACCUUUCUCCAACCCCUUCAGCCACUUACCUUUCUCCAGCGCCGGGCUCCCUCGGCGCUGGGGAACACUCAUCCCUCUGCCGACGUCAGCUCCGAAUGCGCAGCAAGAGCCGUGCGCGCAUUCAAACCACCCAUAGGAAAGCAUUACUCAAUGCUUUCCUAUGGACGUCCAGCAUCUUCUCACUGUGAUUUUCACAGUGAGAAUCGCGGAAGCGCCUCUAGUGGCUGUCAGUGAGACAGCCACUAGAGGCUGGAUUAACCCUCAGUGAAACAGCAGUUUCUCUAGAACUGCUAUGUUUUCAGCUGCAGGCUUUAAACUAG